UACGUAGGGUGCGAGCGUUAAUCGGAAUUACUGGGCGUAAAGCGUGCGCAGGCGGUUUUGUAAGCCAGGUGUGAAAUCCCCGGGCUCAACCUGGGAAUGGCAUUUGGGACUGCAAGGCUGGAGUGCGGCAGAGGAGACUGGAAUUCCGUGGUGUAGCAGUGAAAUGCGUAGAUAUCAGGAGGAACACCGAUGGCGAAGGCAGGUCUCUGGGCUGACACUGACGCUCAUGCACGAAAGCGUGGGGAGCAAACAGGG
rnacentral:rRNA from 1 species